rnacentral:rRNA from 1 species
AUUGAACGCUGGCGGCAUGCCUUACACAUGCAAGUCGAACGGCAGCACGGGAGCAAUCCUGGUGGCGAGUGGCGAACGGGUGAGUAAUAUAUCGGAACGUGCCCGGUCGUGGGGGAUAACGUAGCGAAAGCUACGCUAAUACCGCAUACGAUCUACGGAUGAAAGCGGGGGGAUCGCAAGACCUCGCGCGAUUGGAGCGGCCGAUAUCAGAUUAGGUAGUUGGUGAGGUAAAGGCUCACCAAGCCGACGAUCUGUAGCUGGUCUGAGAGGACGACCAGCCACACUGGGACUGAGACACGGCCCAGACUCCUACGGGAGGCAGCAGUGGGGAAUUUUGGACAAUGGGCGCAAGCCUGAUCCAGCAAUGCCGCGUGCAGGAUGAAGGCCUCGGUU